rnacentral:rRNA from 1 species
UACGUAGGGUGCGAGCGUUGUCCGGAAUUAUUGGGCGUAAAGGGCUCGUAGGCGGUUUGUCGCGUCGGGAGUGAAAUCCACUGGCUUAACUGGUGGCUUGCUUUCGAUACGGGCAGACUGGAGGUAUGCAGGGGAGAACGGAAUUCCUGGUGUAGCGGUGAAAUGCGCAGAUAUCAGGAGGAACACCGGUGGCGAAGGCGGUUCUCUGGGCAUGUCCUGACGCUGAGGAGCGAAAGCCAGGGGAGCAAACGGG